UACUACUACCAAUGAUAAUCUUCUUAAUCUGGUAACUUAUCAAAAGAUGCCCAUAGUUAGUUGUGACUUUCUGCCUGUUGGAUGUGUAUCAGAUGUCUGAUAGGGGUUGUAGUGAUUUGCAAGGUGAGUUGUGUGCCAUUUCUGUAAUGCUUGUAGCCUUAUAAUAAUUUUUAGUUGACUAAGCACUCUGAUGGGCUAGAAAGAAAACAUUGAUUUGUUGGCUUUUUCUCGUGAUGAUGUUAGACGUUUUGAUUGACUAGAUCAUAUGAGUUCAAAAUAGAUGUUUAAGGUGCUUGGUGUCUGAGGUUUUGCACUGGUUAAUUAUAGAAGUCUUUUGGAGUGCAUGAGUGGAAGUCCAGGCUGUUAUUUGACUGGUAUUUAAAGAGAACUAUUGGUUGCAACAAUCUUCUAUUUCUUAGGUGAGAGUUUGGUGUUUUGCAAUUAGAUUCCUACUGCUGCAUCGCGGAGAAGAAACUUGUUGUUGAGUUUUUUCACUAUCUAUAUCUCCUGAAAGAAUUCAGAAGUGUUUUGAAUUGUGGGUUGUUUGAGAUUCAUUUGACUACUCAAUUGCACAAAUUCAAAAUUUACGUAUCUUAGGAUGCGAAAAUAAUUCGUCAUGAAGUAUAGGCCUUGUUUUUGAGUUCUGCUGCAAUUUUUGGUAUUGUGACCAGGAACAUGCAUUUACCUCUUUGAAUCACACUUAGUGCUUGGUUUUCAUUUUAAACUUCCUCGAUGUUCUUUGUACGUCUUUCAGUUCCUCAUGGGCCUCUCUUUACUCUCGAGGUUUGUUGUGCUGGUCAGAGUUUGGCUGAUAUCUCCCCUUCACUUGAAAUAAGUUGGAAAAGAUGUAGAACAUAGAAAUGAGGUUGGGUAGUCUAUUUUGGUAGCGGAUGUUGAAGUGCUCGAAUCAACAAAUUCAACCAAUUUCAGGGACAAGAGAUGAAGCUGGGAUGCCCUGGUGGUAUGGGGUUCUUCUCCAACCGAUCCCAGUAAAUAACCAGCCCCGUCUCCUCUUGAUCUGCCAUCAACUGCAGUUAAAAGUGCACUUGAAGGCAUAAAGGCUUAUAUGCAGGUGUUCGGCACCUUUGUUUGGUGAUGGAGGCUAGGACACUUUGUACAGCGAGUGAGAGGCAAAAGAGAGCAGAGGAGGGAGCCCAGGAGGGCUGCUGCUCUGCUCCUAGGUUUGGUUUAGCUUUGGCUUAACGUAGCAUUAUUUCUUUGUUCUGGAAACUUGUCAAUGAUGGACGGGCCAUGUUAGUGAUUAAAUAGUGGAGUGAGGAAAGCGUGCUCAAGGGGCUAAAUUUUAUGGGAGGGAUUGGUAUUGAGCGUUUUGGGAUUUGUUAAUGGUUUGAUGGGAUGGCCGUUGGGAGAGUGAUGUGGCUUGGUGGAAAGUUUUUUUUUCUGAGCUUGGUGGACGUUAGGUUUCCGGUUCAACACCUCGAGGCCCGAUGUUAUUAUCAAAAUAUUUUUCAUGCAUUGUUGGCAAUGCUAUGUGGGGAAAAGAAGGGAAAUUGGUGCAACUUACAAUUCCGUAACAUUGUGUUUGAAAUUUUUUUAGGUAAGCUUGCUAAUGCUAUAAUAAUGCAUGUGAAGUGUUUUGUAACGAGGCGCCAGCUUGAUAAGCUGGUAAAUCCUUUGGCAGUUUUACCGGGAGGAUUGGAGUAUCUAGAGAAGAGAUACCUUUGUUCUGUAACCAGUUGCUUACGGAAUCUUCUAUUGGAAAAUUUCAAACAAAUAGCAUUGCGUUUUUAAA